UACGAAGGGUGCAAGCGUUACUCGGAAUUACUGGGCGUAAAGCGUGCGUAGGUGGUUUGUUAAGUCUGUUGUGAAAGCCCCGGGCUCAACCUGGGAAUGGCAAUGGAUACUGGCAAGCUAGAGUCCGGAAGAGGAGAGUGGAAUUCCCGGUGUAGCGGUGAAAUGCGCAGAUAUCGGGAAGAACACCCGUGGCGAAGGCGGCUCUCUGGGACGGUACUGACGCUGAGACGCGAAAGCGUGGGGAGCGAACAGG
rnacentral:rRNA from 1 species